AGAAGUAAAAGUCGUAACAAGGUUUCCGUAGGUGAACCUGCGGAAGGAUCAUUAUUGGAUUUUGAAACUUCAGGCUGCUGCUGGCUCUCCUCGGAGGGCAUGUGCACGCUUGUUGUCCAUUAUUUCUCCCACUGUGCACAAAUUGUAGACCUUUCAGUAGGCCUAUGUUGUUUUUCACAAUCUCUGAAUGUAAUAGAAUGGUUUUGAAUCUUGGGAAAUACAAUACAACUUUCAGCAACGGAUCUCUUGGCUCUC
rnacentral:misc_RNA from 1 species